AAAAAAAAAAAAAAAAGAGCUUGGGACUUGGAAAGUAGAAGGGAGAAGGGAAAGAGAUGACUGAUGGGUGGGUGAGCAAGAAGGGGGAAAUGAAUGCUGCAAACCAAAUAACUACACAAAUUGUGAGAAAAUUAAAUGAACAACAGAGUUUGAAAGAUAAGUGGUUAAUGAGGAAUAUGAGAUAAUAAGACAUUUUAAAAUAGGAAAUUACUAUGGAAAGUGAGGAUGAAUGAUGAAUUACAUGGGAGAUGAUUAAGGUACACAGGAAGGCAAGGAAGGGAGGAGGUAACUGGGAUGGAAAACAAAACGUGACUAAUAGGUGGAAAGGGCAGGCUUGAACUCUCGGCAGCAUGUCCCCCAACCUCUGGAGAACGUGCACAACCUAGAAAUAAAGGAGGAACAGAUGAAAAGAGUUCACGGUUAAUGUGAAAUCAUGAGGACAACAGAGGAAGCAGUAAGUGUCAUUUGUCCUCAGGAAUGAAAGCAUUUCUAGAGAAAUGUAUUAGUCUGGGUUGUCCAUUCAUCUACGAGUAGAAUUGUCUUCAUCUACUUCUUACAAAAUGUUAAAUUACAAAAUGAGUGCUAUUAAAGAAAUGCUAAGCACUGUCAGGGGAAGUUGAAGAAAAGAUUGCAUCUAGAACAACUGAAGUGGGGACAAAGUGAGCAAAUCUGUUCACAGUCUUUUGUAUAAAAUUUUGAAAUUCAGCCUCUUAAGGAAAAAAACUGGAGAGAAUUUAUCCAACUAGAAAUGUGGGCAGUGAUGGGGGAGGGGAGAUUUUUUACUGUUGUAAAUAUUUUAGAAUAUAUUCUUCUACAAUAUUUUUUUUUCCUCAUCAAAUGAGUGAGAUUAAGCUAAAAAGCUCCUGGGUAUUGCUUUAAACACACUGGAUGAGAGGGUUUACAGCAAUGUAAAGUAUUCCUAGUAGUAGAAAUAGCAUAAAUUUUUUAAGAAGAUUAAUAUCUGGAGCAGGUCUAAAUGCUUGUGAUUAUCCUUUCGCUUUCUCGUGUCUGUGCAGGGGAUUCCUUUCAGCCAGACAGUACCAGACCCCCUUCAGAGGGAAGCUGAUAAAGUAAUUUAGGUGGAAAGGCCUAAUGAGAUAAUGAUGUUAAGGCCAGUUAACACCUAAUAAGAACAUAACCACCAGGGAUGAUAUUGUUGCUUAUUAAUUAUAAUGAUGAUGUGGAGGAAAGAGACAAGGUGGCACUCAUUUAGCAGAGAGCACUCAGGAGUAAAGCUGUUUUCUCAAAGGGCAAGUUGCAGGCAGAGUUAGAAGUAGGGCAACAUGUAGCCGAGUUUGAAAUUUAUGGCCGUUGGGUUAUACUGGCGACCACAGAACUGGAGGCCAAGCAGGAGGUAACAGAUGCCUUCCUGAUGGUGACCAAGACUGGAAUGGAGACUGCUGUGGUUGCAGGGCCGGGCCAUGCUCAGAGUCAGAGACUCCGGGCUGAGUUUUGGGGGCUGUCCUCUUGCCUCAGAUUCCACAGUGGUCAUUCGUGGGCAGACAGGCAGGUGUCCAGAACUGGACUGGGUGUGUUUCCAGUUCUGUGACCUUCCCCUCCGCUCCACUUGGUCCUGGGAAUCAGACCCACAGCAUAACUCUUCAAUUGGUGAUGGUGCCCUUCCCUGUUGAGGGAGCCCAGAAGAUCCUUUGGGCCUGUUUUUAGAGUCACAGACUUGAUCUGUUGCCUUCAUCUGCUGACCUGAAUGUAAGGUUUCUUGGUGUUAGUCAUUGCCCCUGCUCUGCUUGCUGAAUUCCCCGUGGGUGUGGUUCAUCCAGGGCAGGGGAAUUGUAUAAGUUCAUUGCAGAUACACUGGUGUCUGUAUUAGUCACAGAGCAGGAGUCGAGGAUAUGAGGAAGAAGCAGCCAUGCGAAAAAACCUGAAGCUUUUGGAAAUCUUGAGAGUCCUCAAGGGAGGCACAGCAGCUUGAAGUCCAGGAACAAUCUGGAUGAUAUGGAAUAAACAUUACCUUUAAGACGCGACACGUCCAAAAGAUAGAUUGAAAACUCCUGUUUUCCAGGCAUGAACUCUAUCUCCUUCACCCUACCUCAUCUGUACCUCUAGAAAACGCAUAACGAAACCUGGAGCGCCCCCUUUCUUAUGAGUCAAGACAGCUCCUUUCCCACGAGUUCCAGGGCCUAGUUUGUGAAACAUGGCCUAGGCAAUUUCCCCAAGAGUCCCACAGUCCUGAGUGGACAGGCAAGUCCCAUGAUUCGGAAGUAGUGGCAUCGAGUGGUUGGAGGUGUGGUGACAGUCCAGGCUUCUGGUCUUCCAGGAAACCAAUUUCAUUGGUAUAAUCUUAACAGGUCAUAUUAUAUAUUAUAUACCAAAACCAUCUGCAGUUCUCUUAAAGGAUAAAAACCUGCAAAAAGAAGGUAAAGAAUUGAUAAGAUAGUAAAAGAUAUAUAUAUUUUUUUCUGAUUAAAAACAAUGACCUAUUCCUGACUAUGGGAUAGGAACUA